rnacentral:rRNA from 1 species
CCUACGGGAGGCAGCAGUAGGGAAUAUUGCUCAAUGGGCGAAACCCUGACGCAGCAACGCCGCGUGGAGGAUGAAGGUUUUCGGAUUGUAAACUCCUUUUGUUAGAGAAGAUAAUGACGGUAUCUAACGAAUAAGCACUGGCUAAUUCCGUGCCAGCAGCCGCGGUAAUACGGAGGGUGCAAGCGUUAGUCGGAAUGACUGGGCGUAAAGAGCGCGUAGGCGGGAUAGCAAGUCAGAUGUGAAAUCCUAGGGCUUAACCAUAGAACUGCAUGUGAAACUGUAAUUCUAGAGUAUGAGAGAGGUAGGUAGAAUUCUUGGUGUAGGGGUAAAAUGCGUAGAGAUCAAGAGGAAUA